UACGUAGGUGGCAAGCGUUGUCCGGAUUUACUGGGCGUAAAGAGCGCGCAGGCGGUCGUUCAAGUCGCGUGUGAAAGCCCCCGGCUCAACUGGGGAGGGUCACGCGAUACUGAUCGACUCGAAGGAAGGAGAGGGAAGUGGAAUUCCCGGUGUAGUGGUGAAAUGCGUAGAUAUCGGGAGGAACACCAGUGGCGAAGGCGACUUCCUGGCCUGUUCUUGACGCUGAGGCGCGAAAGCUAGGGGAGCAAACGGG
rnacentral:rRNA from 1 species